GACGAACGCUGGCGGCGUGCUUAACACAUGCAAGUCGAACGGAAAGGCCCUGCUUUGGUGGGGUGCUCGAGUGGCGAACGGGUGAGUAACACGUGAGUAACCUGCCCUUGACUUUGGGAUAACUUCAGGAAACUGGGGCUAAUACCGGAUAGGAGCUCCUGCUGCAUGGUGGGGGUUGGAAAGUUUCGGCGGUUGGGGAUGGACUCGCGGCUUAUCAGCUUGUUGGUGGGGUAGUGGCUUACCAAGGCUUUGACGGGUAGCCGGCCUGAGAGGGUGACCGGCCACAUUGGGACUGAGCUACGGCCCAGACUCGUACGGGAGGCAGCAGUGGGGAAUAUUGCACAAUGGGCAGAAGCCUGAUGCAGCAACGCCGCGUGCGGGAUGACGGCCUUCGGGUUGUAAACCGCUUUCGCCUGUGACGAAGCGUGAGUGACGGUAAUGGGUAAAGAAGCACCGGCUAACUACGUG
rnacentral:rRNA from 1 species